CCUACGGGGCGCAGCAGUGGGGAAUAUUGCACAAUGGGGGAAACCCUGAUGCAGCGACGCCGCGUGAGUGAUGAAGUAUUUCGGUAUGUAAAGCUCUAUCAGCAGGGAAGAAAAUGACGGUACCUGACUAAGAAGCACCGGCUAAAUACGUGCCAGCAGCCGCGGUAAUACGUAUGGUGCAAGCGUUAUCCGGAUUUACUGGGUGUAAAGGGAGCGUAGACGGAGAGGCAAGUCUGAUGUGAAAACCCGGGGCUCAACCCCGGGACUGCAUUGGAAACUGUUUUUCUAGAGUGUCGGAGAGGCAA
rnacentral:rRNA from 1 species